rnacentral:misc_RNA from 1 species
UACGAAGGGGGCUAGCGUUGUUCGGAAUCACUGGGCGUAAAGCGCACGUAGGCGGACCGUUAAGUCGGAGGUGAAAGCCUGGGGCUCAACCCCAGAACUGCCUUCGAUACUGGCGGUCUUGAGUAUGGUAGAGGUUGGUGGAACUCCGAGUGUAGAGGUGAAAUUCAUAGAUAUUCGGAAGAACACCAGUGGCGAAGGCGGCCAACUGGACCAUUACUGACGCUGAGGUGCGAAAGCGUGGGGAGCAAACAGG